rnacentral:rRNA from 1 species
ACGGGAGGCAGCAGUGGGGAAUAUUGCACAAUGGGGGAAACCCUGAUGCAGCGACGCCGCGUGAGUGAAGAAGUAUUUCGGUAUGUAAAGCUCUAUCAGCAGGGAAGAAAAUGACGGUACCUGACUAAGAAGCCCCGGCUAACUACGUGCCAGCAGCCGCGGUAAUACGUAGGGGGCAAGCGUUAUCCGGAUUUACUGGGUGUAAAGGGAGCGUAGACGGCAUGACAAGUCUGAAGUGAAAUCCCCGGGCUCAACCCGGGAACUGCUUUGGAAACUGCCAAGCUAGAGUGCAGGAGGGGCAAGCGGAAUUCCUAGUGUAGCGGUGAAAUGCGUAGAUAUUAGGAGGAACACCAGUGGCGAAGGCGGCUUACUGGACGGUAACUGACGUUGAGGCUCGAAAGCGUGGGGAGCAAACAGGAUUAGAUACCCUGGUA